AGGAAGGGAGUUCAUGCAGUGCAAGUCGUGCAAGUUUUCAAUUUCCUCCCAGGACGUUCUUCUGAAGCAUUGUAGGCUUCACCACGGUCACGGUUCACCAACUGAAUGUAGUGGGCCUGUCCCCAGUGCUCCUGCUCUGCCAUCCCGGGCCCCAGAGAAUCAAGGCUGUCUUGAUUACAGAAUUACAGCCAGUAAGGCCAAAAGAGGUGGAGGCCUUGAAGAAGGUGAAAGACCUCUACAAAUCACUUGUCCUUCUUGGGAGAGGAGAGGAGGAGGUGAGCAGGGAGGAAGAGGAAGGGCAAGAGGAAGAAGGAGAGGAGGUGGUUCGCAGAGAGGAAGAGGAAGGGCAAGAGGAAGAAGGAGAGGAGGUGGUUCGCAGAGAGGAAGAGGAAGGGCAAGAGGAAGAAGGAGAGGACGUGGCCGACAGGGAGGAAGGGGAAGAUGAAGAAAGAGAGGAUGGCCAAAAGGAUGCU